rnacentral:rRNA from 1 species
UACGGGGGGAGCAAGCGUUGUUCGGAAUCACUGGGCGUAAAGGGAGUGUAGGCGGUUCGGUAAGUGGGAUGUGAAAUGCCCCGGCUCACCCGGGGACCUGCAUCCCAAACUGCUGAGCUUGAGUACAGGAGAGGGUGGGGGAAUUCCAGGUGUAGCGGUGAAAUGCGUAGAUAUCUGGAGGAACACCGGUGGCGAAGGCGCCCACCUGGACAGUAACUGACGCUGAGGCGCGAAAGCGUGGGUAGCAAACAGG